rnacentral:rRNA from 1 species
GUUGAGGCUGAGGCGUGAUGCCUAGUCACCACGGUGCUGAAGUGACAAAUGCGCUGCUUCCCGGAAAAGCCUCUGAGCAUUAGGCGACAUCAACUCGCACCGCAACCCGACUCUGGGGGUCGGGGAUAGAAUACCGAGGUCGCUUGCGAGAACUCGGGUGAAGGAACUAGGCAAAAUGGUGCCGUAACUUCGGGAGAAGGCACGCGGACAUGGAGGAGAAGUCCCUGCAGGCGGAGCGGAAGUCAGUCGAAGAUACCAGGUGGCUAGAACCGUUUAUUAAAAACGCAGCACUGUGCAAACACGCAAGUGGACGUAUACGGCGUGACGCCUGCCCGGUGCGGGGAGGUUAAUU